AGUGAACGCUGGCGGCGUGCUUAACACAUGCAAGUCGAGCGAGAUUUGACAGCGUAUCGUCAAGUCUAGCGGCAGACGGGUGAGUAAUACUUGGACAAUCUACCCUUAAGUGGGGGACAACCUGCCGAAAGGCGGGCUAAUACCCCAUAAGACCACAGAGAUGCAUAUUUCAGGGGUCAAAGCUCCGCAAGGGGCGCUAAAGGAGGAGUCCGAGUCCUAUCAUGGUAGUUGGCGGGGUAAUGGCCCACCAAGCCGUUGACGGGUAGCCGG
rnacentral:rRNA from 1 species